rnacentral:pre_miRNA from 14 species
GCCGGCGCCCAGGCUCUGGCUCCGUGUCUUCACUCCCGUGUAUGUCCGAGAAGGGAGGGAGGGACGGGGGCUGUGCUGAGGCAACCGGA